rnacentral:rRNA from 1 species
GUACACGCUGUGACUAGCAUAUCAAUAAGCGGAGGAAAAGAAACUAACAAGGAUUCCCCUAGUAACGGCGAGUGAAGCGGGAAGAGCUCAAAUUUGAAAUCUUAAAGGGUUUCCCUUUACGAAUUGUAGUCUAAAGAAGUGUUUUCUGUUGAGGUUUUGGUAAAAGUUCUUUGGAAUAGGACAUCAUAGAGGGUGAGAAUCCCGUAUUUGACCUUUACUUUCAACUUUGUGAUACACUUUCAAAGAGUCGGAUUGUUUGGGAAUGCAGUCCAAAAUGGGUGGUAAAUUUCAUCUAAAGCUAAAUAUUGGCGAGAGACCGAUAGCGAACAAGUACCGUGAGGGAAAGAUGAAAAGAACUUUGAAAAGAGAGUUAAACAGUACGUGAAAUUGUCAAAAGGGAAGCGUUUGACACCAGUGUUGUUUUUCUGAAAAUCAAUUAAAGAACUGUUUAUGCUAAGUUGUUUAGACUUUAUCAGCUAUCUGUUUAGUUUUGAGCUUUUCUUUAAUGCACUUUUCAGUUAACAAGUCAACAUCAAUUUCUUUUGCUGUUAAAAAGCUUGAGGAAGGUGGCUUGAGAUUCGUCUUAAGUGUUUAUAGCCUCUUGCCUAUGCAGUCGGAGAGAUUGAGGUCUGCAGCGUAGAUCCUUCGGGGCUAAAUGCAUUUGUGCUAAGUUAUAGCAUUUUAUAGACAACUUGUUGACUAUGAUUUGUCUUGUAGCUUACUCGCCUUAUGUUAUUUUACCUACGCUUAGGAUGUUGAAGAUGUAGCACAUCAU